rnacentral:rRNA from 1 species
GACGAACGCUGGCGGCGUGCUUAACACAUGCAAGUCGAACGGUGAACCUCUUCGGAGGGGAUCAGUGGCGAACGGGUGAGUAACACGUGGGCAACCUGCCCCCGGCUCUGGGAUAACUCCAAGAAAUUGGGGCUAAUACCGGAUGUUCACCGCUUCCCGCAUGGGUGGUGGUGCAAAGGGUUUCCGGCUGGGGAUGGGCCCGCGGCCUAUCAGCUUGUUGGUGGGGUAGUGGCCUACCAAGGCGACGACGGGUAGCCGGCCUGAGAGGGUGACCGGCCCCACUGGGACUGGGACACGGCCCAGACUCCUCCGGGAGGCAGCAGUGGGGAAUAUUGCGCAAUGGGCGGAAGCCUGACGCAGCGACGCCGCGUGGGGGAUGACGGCCUUCGGGUUGUAAACCUCUUUCAGCAGGGACGAAGCGAAAGUGACGGUACCUGCAGAAGAAGCCCCGGCCAACUACGUG